CUCCAGUUAGCCUAGUGGUUAAGGCUAUAGAUCGCCAAUCCGGAGAUGACGGGUUCGAUUCCCGUUCUGGUCG
rnacentral:tRNA from 1 species